CCGCCACAGCCACCCUUCCCCACCCCUGCAAUUUACAAGCCUUCCGCCAUCAUGGAAAUCUGAAAUCCCACGAAAGAACAGUAAACAUCACAGGGAAAAGAAAAUACCUAGCCAGGCCGUGCUGGACAGCAGAGUCACAAAUGGACAGAGGUCUCUGAGCCAGGGAUGAAGGCGUCUAGGCAACAACAGGGAACUGGCCUUCACACCCGAGCUCAGCUGGGUAAGAACAAAGAGAUGUACACACAGAUGUGCCAAUCCUUCAUGGGGUACAGCCAAGCAUCCUGGUGCCCUGGGAAUUCCCAGGCUCGAAGACACAGCCAGAAUGUCAGAGAAGCUCACAAGUAAACACAGGUGUCAGGUUUAGAGACCAUGUGGAAACGUGAAUGUUUUAAAUAACGGAAAGAGACUAAAUAUCAUUUAGACCACAAAUGAAGUCAGAAUCAGCUUUGUCACCUUCUUGUGGGCUCCCCCGGGAGGGAGUAAGUAUGGUGUAGGGGAAAGAGCAGGGGCUAGGGUUCGGCUGAACGGCUUCGAAGGCUGGCUGCAUCACGUAUGGGCCAGCUGCGUGACUCAGGCCAAGUCAUUCUCUGAAGCUCGGUUUUGCUCUCUGUCCCAUGGGAAAAUAGCAACUCUUCAGAAGGCUGUGAAGAGUAACAAGAUUUACAGCCAGAGGGCCUGGGCCUGGCAUUCAGCAGGUUCACGCUUCUCUCAAGAGCUCCCCACAGAGAAGGACUUCCUCCUGCAUCCCCACCUCUGCAGUGGGCACCCAGCUUUAUUUAGCAUGGGGCCCUCACCUUGAGCUACAGAUCCCUGGGGUGAGUGGGGUGUUAAAAAGAGAAGAGGCACAGAGAUCUCUCAACCUCUGGAAACAAUUUGGUGGCCUCCUAACAGAAGACUAAGAUAAUGCUGACCAAACACAUGAUUGAUCUGUAUAAGAAAGACCUCAUAUCUAGACGAAAAUGACAGACUAGUAAUUGAACCCUACGGAAAACAUCCCCUCCUUUUCUUUCUUUACCUCAGUAAGUCAUCUAGAGCUGCCACUGAAGACUUAGAAUCACCACCCUGCAGGAAAAUCAUAGAGGCUGUUAAUUUCGCCUCUUGGCUUUACCAUUUAGCAUGAAAAUCACCAAACCUUGGCACCAGGAAAGAAACCUCUAAUCAGCCCGUUCGAACUUCCACCCAAGCACCGGAGCUCCCUGGCAUGACCUGGCAACUGAGAUCAGAUUGUUCCUUACUACCUGAAAUUUCCUUGAGAAUUCCUUUUUCUAGGUUCACCUGGGUGGCUCCGACAGUCGGGCGUUUGACUCUCAGCUUUGGCUCAGGUUGGGAUCGCACAAUUGUGGGACGCAGCCCUGCACUAGGCUCUGCGCUCAGCGUGAAGUCUGCUUGAGUUUCUCUCUCCCUCUGCCUCUGUCCCUCUUCCUGCUCAUGCUCUC